UAUGAUGAAAUUAGUUUAAUAAAAAAUAGAGAGUUGCAAAUUCUCAGAUAAAGGUGUUUAUUUCUUUAGGC
rnacentral:tRNA from 1 species